rnacentral:antisense_RNA from 1 species
AGGGGUGCCUGAGGAGAAAGGGGUGCUGGUUCUUCCUUAUAUCAUAUCCCCUGCCUGCCUCAGCUGGGCUCUGACCCAGCCAGCAGACUGGAGUCCUCUUCUGCAUGGAGCAGCACCAAUGGAGGCUAGCGGGUCUGCAGAGGAGCAGCUCAAGUCAUGCGAUUAUUGGAGCUUGCAGCAAAAUGACUGGAACAACAUCUGGGCUGCAGCAAGCUGGCCAGGACAUUUUAAAAGAGCUCCUGUGGUGCCUCCAACUUUGAUUUUACAGAGCUGCGGGGAAAGAAACAGGCUGUGUUCAAGAGCUCAUGUGUUUUGCCUCACAUGUUUUGUCCUCGGUCACUGUGAAGGGCCUCACUCAGCUGGGGACCCUGAGGGACAUUCUUGGGCAGUCAUUCUCUGUCUACUCUGCUAGCUCUCUUAGAAACCUUGGCAUAGUGCCUUCCUGGAAAUCCUGGAUUGCAUCUAAAACCAUGUGGCAGAGGGAGAAACCACAGACAGGCCAUCCUGAGAAGACUCAGGCUGAGAUGAAAGCUCUGCUCUCCAGGGACAAAGCAGCAGGGGACCAGCCAUGCUCAGAGAUACUCCACUGGCCAGU